rnacentral:lncRNA from 1 species
AGAGAGAGAGCCAAAGCCUUAAAAUGUAUAUAACUUUGAUUCUCUAUUUAAACUUUAAGGGUAUGUGGUCUAGGUAAAUAAACAUGGCUACAUGAAGAAGAUAAUUAAGGAAAUGCUUGUCGCAUAAAAGUUUAUAGCAGCAAAACUUUUGAAACAACCUAACCAGCUAAAAAUUGGGGAUUGGCUAAACAAAUUAUGGGAUAUCUCUACAAAGGAAUCUAUUGUCGUCAUACCCAUGAUGUAGCAGAUUAUCAAAUGAAAAGAUGCUCCCUAAUCACCAAUAAGUGACAAGAGCAAUUAUAAAUUAUAAAAGGAAUGCAUAAUAUAAUCUUCUUUUUGGUGAUACUAUAAUAUUGUUGAAAGCCUACAUACCAAAAUAUUAACAGUGGUUAUCUAUGGGUGGUGGUAUCACGGGGGAUGUGUACUUCUUUUACUUUCUACAUAUAUUUAUUUCCAAUUCAUUCAAUAGACAAGCAUAUCUUUUGUAGUAAGCUAUACUUGAAACUUCAAGAGGAGUAGACUUUGUUAUAUUCAUUUUUUAUGUCCAAGAUAUAGCACAAAAUAUUGCACAUAAGUGUUCCAUAACUGUGUGUUGAAGAAAAAUAUAUUUAAACAUAUAUUUAUAUUUAGUUAUUAUAAAUAAAAUUAAUAUAGGAUAUAAAUAUAAGAAAUAUAUAUUCUCUAAAGCAAGAGUUGUGGCAGUCGUAAUCUCAGAGGAAAGCAAUAUGUCACCAACACGACCAUUCACAGAAGAAACAGUCACACAGGUCAGGCCAAAUAACUACAGUUAAAGGAAGAAAACCACUAAGUAAUCACCAGGUGGCAGGAAAUAGAACCAGCAACUUAGCUAAGGAAGCCAAUGAGUAUAGUGAGUUCUAGAAACUGCAUCCUCCACAGAGGGCCUAAGAAAUCCAGGCUCUUGGCCAACAGGACUGACUCAGGCCUCCUUCACUUCCUUCUGGAAUUCAAGUGAAAAUAACUCCUCUCUUCUGAGCCCUGAUCAGUAAGCUUGUUUCACACAGCUAGGGUGGGUGCUUAGAACCCUCCAGUGGGCUGGAGACAUUUUGUAAGAUAGGGAGUGUAGUCUGGAAGAAGGAAUUUUUGGAUUUUAAAUGAGAAACAACUCUGCCAUUACCAGCGUGUGAGUUUUGCCAAGUUGCAUUUUCGUUUUACUUGUUAAGUAUGAAUUAGAAAAAUAGCUGUUUGUCACAAGAUUGAGGACAAAAUGGAUAAUGACUGAAAAAAAAUUAAGAAGUACCAUAACUAGGUGUUAAACUAUAAAAUAUAUUACCUUUACUACCCUAGAAAGAGAGAAAUGCCCCAUGUACAUUCUAGAAUGAGAAUGCCAUGUAUGAUUCAUACGGAAGAUGCUGAAAUAUAAUAUGUACUUAGGUUUUGGAGACCAGAUACAAGUGGACUUGGGUGGCAGCCCGGGUGGCUCAGCGGUUUAGUGCCACCUUCCACCUGGGGUGUGAUCCUGGGGACCCGGGAUCGAGUCCCACGUCAGGCUCCCUGCGUGGAGCAUGCUUCUCCCUCUCCCUGUGUCUCUGUCUCUGUCUCUGUCUCUCUCUGUGUGUGUCUCUCAUGAAUAAAUAAAAUCUUAAAAAAACAAAAAAAUGAGUGGACUUGGGUAACUAGAUGAACACAUGCAAAUCUAUUGGUUAAGUCUCUGCACGGAAGCAUUCCUAGGUUUUUAGGUUAUGACAGCCACAAAUAGAUGUGUUAACUGGAAUAGCAGGGUGUGAUUUUGCUGAACUUCGAUAUCUAGAGACAUGUCCCAACAGCGCACAGGAAUACAUUUGCAUUCCAUACUUAUUUUCCUAUUAUCUGAGCUCUAUCUUCUAUUCCACACCAAACAGCAAGCCCUUCCAGACAGCCCCAUUUGUACAAAUAAAGAGCCAUUACUAAUUUGUCAUGAAACGCAGAAGGGGGAAAGUGUGGCACAAUAAAUAAGUGUACUGAACAGUAACAACAAAAGGAUGUGAAAGAUUGCAUAGGUUAAUGAUUAAAAUGAUAGCCAAAGGGAUGGAGUAGCUGGGGAGGGGUUAGGGAUUCUUAAAGGAAAGCCCAUUAGAACUAUAAACAGAAUGAUCUUUUUUAUUAAAUCUGCAACUUCAACUCAUUCAAGGUGGCUUUAAUACAAGAACAUAAGAGACAACACAGUGUGUGGCAAAUGAGCUGUGAUGUCAAGUGGAAAUGACUUCAUUGUUGGCAUUGGACUUAUUAGCUAAGACCUUGAGCAAGUAACUUUUCUGAGCCCCAGUUUCAAUAUCUGUUCAAAAAAAUAAGAGAACAGUUGUAGGAAUUACUGAUAAUCUAUGUGAAGUGCACAGCUGACAUGUAGGUGCGCAUUAAGUAGUAUCCAUUGACAGUGAUGACCUCUCACCCAUAAACCUCAACCAAUGUACCCAAGUAGUUUUAUUCAAAAUAAACUCCUUCCUCUGAAAACAUAAUGGAAUUAACUAGGGAGGGGAAAUCCUCUCCUUGCGCACUGAAGGUGAGUCACUGGCAGGCAGGCAGAAAUUACACAAAGGGAGUGUUUCUGAUUUGAAUAUUGCUCAAAGUGAAAAUUUUAAGCAAGAUUUUCCAAAACAGCUUGGUGCUCUUUUGGCUUUUCUUUAAGUGUUGUGAAUUUAAAGAAUUUAUUCAAAGUCUGUUCCUUAGGGCGCCUCGGUGGCUCAGUCAGUUAAGUGUCUGCCUCCGGCUCAGGGACCCUGGGAUGGAGCUCCACAUCAGGCUCCCUGCUCCAUGCGGACCCUGCUUCUCUCUCUCCUGCUACCCACCACCCCCACCCCCGCUUGUGCUCUCACUCUCUCUUUUAUUUUUAUCUCUGUCAAAUAAAUAAAUAAAAUAUUUUUUAAAAAAAGAAAAAAGAAAAAGAAGAGUAUAGGUAAAGUAAAUGAAACUGUAGACAUAUGCAGACAAAUAUUUUACACGGCUGUUUUUAUGGAACUGUCAAUCAAUCUCUCUCUCCCUUCCCCUGCCCUCCACACACACUAAGGAUGAGCAUCAUUUUAGCUAAACUCAAUGUCAGCCUUGCUUCUUUGUUACCUUUACCUGUCCUUACUCAAAUUAUUCUCCUCAGAUUCCAAACUGGUCCUCACUAUUCGAUUGUGUGAACCCAAGAUCAGACAUCUCUAAAGCUUAUUGUCUACGUGGCCAUGACAUUAUUGUUUGGCUGUCUUCAUUAACAUGACUUCUAUUGUCUUCAUCAACACAACUUUUUUAUUCUAGGAAGCUCUGGAGCAGAGAGAUAAAUGUUUAUUGAUUCUCAAUGCUUUUUGAAACACUCACCUCAAGACACUCAUCUUAUGUCCACCAAUCCAAAACUAGUUUAUCAUAAUCAUUAGCUAAUUCUAAUCAAGCCCUUGUAUUGAAAGACCCAUUUUAAACUCAAACCCAAAAACCACUUAAAUAGUCCAACAUUGUCCUUCCUGCUCCAAGAUGCUAUUAAAACUUUGUCAAGGAAGAAAGCUUACUUACCAUGGUAAGCAACAAACUCAGUUUUGCCUUAGCAACAGGCUAUUUUGGUAGUAUUUUUAGGGAGCUAGCAUUCAGCAAUUGCAAGCCUUCUUGGAGCGGGUGUUCUUAGUUUGAUGAUUAUAGUAUAUAGGAGGGGGGUGUAUGGGUAUAAUUUGAUCUAUAAUAAGAAAGGUUUUUAUAUCUAGUGUUAAUGUGGCUGCUGCCUUUUACUGUUUUCUUCUGUCAUUACAUUCAUGCUUUACCCUAGUGAAAUUCCCUUAAGCUUUCUUCUAAAUGCUGUACUCUCCCCUCACUUUCCUUUGUUCUUCUGGUGUGCAAUGAAAGGUCUCAGGCAUUCCGCACAUCUAAAAGACUACAACCAUGACCCCAUAUUCACUAGACAACAACUCACUGAAGAUUAUCAUAAUCCUCCAGAGGACCCUUCUCCUAAUUAGCAGAUCUCUCCCUGGUCACACUAGCUACACAGCUCAACCUGGCCAGUCCAGAAUUGUUACAUCUCUACAGGUGGUUACUGAGACAGCUUCACAGCUUCUGAGGACAAAGAAGACUGUCUUUUCCAUGGAAGAACAAUGCUUCAAAACAUCCUUUGAAUGGCUACUUUCUAACCUAGGGAGUCUCAACUCAUGUUAUUUUAUUGCAGAUUCCUGUUUCCUAUUUUUAAAUUCCCCUCACCCUUAUGCCCACCAACUCCCAGCAAGUUGCUGCUUUAACAGGUGGAUCUUUGCAACCUAAUGUUUGUAGUAGUCAAGACCAACACAGAAAUGCUUUUAAGCAUUUUAUGAUCAUGGAGAUUCUGAUGCAACCAUUGUAAAUUAUAAAAUCAUCAUGGAUCAGCAAAGCCGUGCUGCAGUUUUCCAUUUGGAAACCCAGCAAUGAAGUGUUUAAAACAAAAGAACAAUGUGAAGAUAAAGCAGAAACAAAGAUUGGUAUCAUUGGUGGGCUAGCUUUUCAGAAUGGUAGAAGAUAUUCACUUUUUUUUAAAAUGAGGCAAUGAGUGUAAAUAAUUAAUAAUAGCAAGUUAUAUAAUGAAUAGUUUCCUUGCCCUUUGUUUCAUGCCUUUUUUAAAACUUUUCCUUUUAUCCUUUUGGUCUACUUUUUAAAAAAGUUAGUGUUUCAUACAUUUUGAAGUGGCAUAACUAAGGCGAGGCCACAACAAAAAUAUAAAAAGAAAUAUAGAAUAACAGGUAAUAGCUGCUUUUU